CGGCAACAGCUCAAAUUUGAAAUCUGGCCCCCAGGGCCCGAGUUGUAAUUUGCAGAGGAUGCUUUUGGCGCGGUGCCUUCCGAGUUCCCUGGAACGGGACGCCAUAGAGGGUGAGAGCCCCGUCUGGUCGGACGCCUAGCCUGUGUAAAGCUCCUUCGACGAGUCGAGUAGUUUGGGAAUGCUGCUCUAAAUGGGAGGUAUAUGUCUUCUAAAGCUAAAUACCGGCCAGAGACCGAUAGCGCACAAGUAGAGUGAUCGAAAGAUGAAAAGCACUUUGAAAAGAGGGUUAAAUAGUACGUGAAAUUGUUGAAAGGGAAGCGCUUGUGACCAGACUUGGGCCCGGUGGAUCAUCCAGCGUUCUCGCUGGUGCACUCCGCCGGGUUCAGGCCAGCAUCAGUUCGCCGCGGGGGAAAAAGGCUUCGGGAACGUGGCUCCUACGGGAGUGUUAUAGCCCGUUGCAUAAUACCCUGGGGCGGACUGAGGUUCGCGCUCCGCAAGGAUGCUGGCGUAAUGGUCAUCA
rnacentral:rRNA from 1 species